CUGGUUUUAAAUGGGGCUCCCGCAAGUAAGCGGUGGGAUUGGUUCCCUUGAAUUAGUCGGUCCUAAAGCUGGAUACAAAAUUUUCAAAAAAAAAAAGAGAAAAAAGUGUACUUAAGAUAGCACUUUUUGGUACCUUAGAUAAUACUUCUUUAGAAGUGCUAUUAUUAGGCUUUCUAGUGAAANNNNNNNNNNAAAAAACAGUGAAAAUUUUGUUUUGGUGCUGGAACGAAAAUUUCAUUUUGCGUCCUCACUUUUUCACUUUUCACUCUAAUUUUCUUUUUUGAAGUAACUUUUCACUCUAAUUUUCACUUCUCACUCUAAUUUUUCACCAGAUCCAAACAACUGUCGAACUGCUCACUACCACCGCCGACCUAGAUACCACCGACCCAGAUACCAUCUUCUCACUACCACCGUAGACGAACUCAGAACUCGACAAACCCAUCGUUCCUCUUCUCAUUNNNNNNNNNNNNNNNNNUUCAUUGUUCCGACGAAUUCGUUGUCUCCAUCGUUCCUCUCUUGAGUUACUCUUCAUCAUUGUUCAAUCUUCACACCAUCUUUCCGACGAACCUUCCAUUGUUAAACCCUAAAUCCCAAAUAGAAGGAUUGUUACUGUUGUUGAAGGCUUGAAGGAGGUAAAAAUUUUCCCUCUCUUUAUUUAUCUUCUUUUUAAUUUUUCAGGGACUUCUUGAAAACAUGAAAGAUGCUUGCUUGGUUGGGCAAUUGGCAGAGAUAUUGUUUAGGUUAAUUAGUUUCUCUUGUUAUAAUUAGUGUCAUGAACAUCAUCUAGAGGGUUAGGAUGAUUAGUUUGUUUUUGUCUUGGACACCAGAUUGUCUUGCUUCUUUGUUUGUUUUGUGAAGGAUGGGAGACUCAUGUAAUUUGAUGGUACUUAUUGGCCUUCUUUAAGCCUUUUUAUAUUGAAACUGAAACCUAUAGUAGCGCUUUCGUAAAAAGCGUUACGAAUAGGGGUAUACUAUAGCGCUUUAGUGUAAAAGUGCUAUUAAAGAUUGGUGAUACAAUAAUGCUUUUUUUUUUUUCUGAGAAAACAAUAGCACUUUUAAAAAUGCUAUAAUAAUAGACACAAACUUUUAAUAGCACUAGCUUCUAUAGAAAAAAAA
rnacentral:lncRNA from 1 species